rnacentral:tRNA from 1 species
UGCGGAGUAGAGCAGCCGGUAGCUCGCCGGGUUCAUUCCCCGGAGGUCGCAGGUUCGAAUCCUGUCUCCGCCACGA